AUAGACCACAUAAUGUCUACUGCAUACACAUGGAUAAAACAUCCUCCAGUGUUAUAUAUAACGCAUUGACGUCGAUUGUGUCAUGUCUUCCCAAUGUAUUCAUGGCUUCAAGACGAGUAGAUGUCAUAUGGGGACAAUUCAGUGUUCUGGAACAAGAGAUCGUAUGUCUAAGAGAUCUGUAUGAACAUAAAGUAAAAUGGCGAUAUGUGAUCAAUUUAACUGGCCAAGAAUAUCCAUUGAAAACAAAUUAUCAACUUGUUAAAAUACUACAAGCUUAUAAAGGUGCUAAUGAUAUACAGGGUUCUACCAAGAUCUUGAACAGAGAUCGUGUUGCUGGUCGACCACCGGCGCCAGGUGGUAUUUCACCGUGUAAAGGAUCAUUGCAUUAUACAGCCUCUCGACAGUUUAUAGACUAUGUUCUACACAAUAAAACAGCUCAAGAUUUUCUGGAGUGGUGUAAGCUAAUUGGUAUACCUGAUGAAACUUAUUUCACUUCUUUAAACAACAAUAAACAUCUACAAAUACCAGGAUCAUACAUAGGAGAUCGCGAGAGGGGAGACAGGGAUUUUUUUUCCCGCUAUAAAAUCUGGUACGGUAAUCCGUUAUGUGGCAGCGGUUACUUUGUUCGAGAGGUGUGUAUUAUGGGAGUGGCGGAUUUACCUGCUUUGACCAAGGCACCGCAAUUAUUCGUCAAUAAACUACAUUAUUACUUUGAACCGUUGACAUUUGAUUGUUUAGAGGAAUGGUACAUGGAACAAGUGAAGUCAGAAAUGACAGGAAAUUUAGAUUUCAAUACAACUUUAUAUGAACAAAGUACAAUUGUGAAAUAUAAAUAUAUACCAUCGUGAUUCCGGUGUAAAACGAAUCAGGUGAUUUGAAAUUUGGGAACAACAGUGUCGUGACAAUUUUAUACCUUGUUGUUUGUAUAUUAUGUAACAUUUAGAUAAAAAGCUGGGGCCUGUUUCACGUUUAAUAAUUUGAUUGGAUAAUAUUAGAUUGAUUUUAGUGCUUAGUCAAUCAAAAUUAAAGUAUUUACUAAAAUUUAGAUUUUAUCUUUAGUUAAGAUUUCGAGAAACAGGGCCCAGAUCUUUAUUGCUAUAAUAGUUCCAAAAUAGAUAAUGAAAAAUGAAUGUAUAGAGAAUCUCCUACCAGUCUAUUUUUAUAUCUAAAAAUAUCAACACAAGUUGAUAAAGUAACAAAAAACGAUGCUCUGCCCAGUUUUUUUUUUACUUUAUCAACGAGUGUUGAUAUUUUUUGAUAUCAAAAAAGACGAGUAGGAGAUUUUAUUUAUCACCCAAUCCCUUCUUACAUGCACAAAUAGAUAAAUAUAAUUCUUUACUGUAGAUUUCACUUUUACUGAACAUUACGGCGGAGUGAUACAUUAUUUUUUGACAGCAAUUCAACCAUUGCAAAGUCCUUUAUAUUGACCCAGUGUUUCCAUCAAGGUCAAUUGAAUAACAAUAAAUGUAGUUCAUUCUUAAUUUAAAAAAAGUUAUUUUUAAUAAGAAAUGAACUGUUCUUUGAAAAUAAAAAAAGGAGUUCCUUUUCAACUGACCAAUCCAAUUCAUGUAAAGCGAUAUCACCUAAGGAGAUAUCGCAGUAGAUUAUGAAAUAUAUCACACAAGCGAUAUCUACUGUAGAAUGUAUUAUUGGGUGAUAAAUUGAAAAUAUCAUUCACAUUACUUCAUUCUGGGCGAAGUUAUGUCUGUUUAAAGGUGUAGCGUAGAUUGUUCAUUAUCGUUGUCUCAGUCACAAUUAUUCAUUUUAAAGUUAAAUCUUGCGGCAGUUCUAAUCCAUGUGUAUUACGCCCAUCCGAUGCUCUAUACAGCUGAUUAUAGGCUUGUAGCGUGCAUAUAGUUCCAAUCUGAUUAAAAACACAGACCCUAGAUUUCAUUUCGUUUUUAUAGUUCAAAUUUUGUUUUACUUGUGUUUACUACACUAGGAUCUGGAAGAGAUGUUAUCAUUGACGUGUUCUGAAUAGUGUGAGGUAUUAGCCAAUGAUACGGUCUGUUACGGGGAGCUUUAGGCGUGUUUUGCACGGAACUGUGAGUAAUUCGCUAGUAACAUCAAUGCUGAUUGGUUAAUCAAAUAUCUGACGUCAUAGGGUUAAAGGUUGCUCGUAUGACCUUUGACGUGACCUAUCGUAACUACCGGUCAGAUCUUCAUGUAGUGUAGCGCAUCGAAAGUAUAAAAAACAAACGAAAUAUAGAUCUGUAUUGUAAUCAGAUUGAUAUAUGUCUAAAUAAUAGUAUCCUGAUGAGCUCGAAAUUAAAAACACUACUGACAGUGACAAUUACGCUUCCUACUUGGAUCUGCGUCUCGAUUUUGACAAUUGCCAUAAACUUAGUGUGAAAUUGUACGAUAAACGUGAUGACUUUGACUUUCCGAUUGCUAACUUUCCAUUUAUUAGUAGUAACAUUCCAAUAUCACCAGCUUAUGCAGUGUUUGUGUCUCAACUUCUGAUUUUUUAAGUAGAUCGAGGCAUUUGUCAUCUAAGCUUCAACUACAGGGAUACUUGCGAACUAAACUUAUUAAAACCUUUAAAACGUUUUAUGGGCGUCAUAUUGACUUGAUUGGUAAAUAUAACAUGUCUCUCUCGGCUAUUAUUCUAGAUAUAUUUAAUUGACGCGUAUACAAUCUCCCUGAUAAUGUCUCUCUACUACAUCGUUAACACUGUUCAUCACGUGCAUUUUGCAUACAGAUAGUUCAUUGGCCAAUCACGCUAUUUUACCGAGAUUUCGCCUAAUAGUUUGGAUGCAGCUAUGGCGGUGUGGCGCCAGGCAGGGUGAGCUUACUCUUCCGGACACCUGUUACCACUGUUUGUCGUGUAUUUUGUACACGGUGAACAGUCCAUAUGCUGAUUACACUAUUUUGCCUUAUUACACUAUUUUGCCUAUACCGUUUUUUUAGGACUUCGAAUUUUGUCUAAUGGUUUGGAUUGUUCGUACUUGGUUUUGUUUUAUUUUAUUUUUAUAUAUAACGUUUGUCGACAAAAUAAUGAAAUGCAAUAUGUAGAGUUAGCCCUUAUACUUUAAACUGUAAGGGCAGCAUAGCUUUAAAUAAAUUAUGUUAAAGGGCGUAUCUAUGUUAUUAAUAGGAUGAAGGGCGUGACAAGGACAGCUGUCUAGCCGUUGGGAUGGCACGAAAAACCGAGGUCCCGUGUACACAUUGGCAUGCACGUAAAAGAUCCCUCGACAGUUGGAAUUCGAUAUAAGAGUAGGCCAUAGUGCCGCUGCCCGUGCAAAAGUUCCCUCAUAGCACACAGUAUGGCGUAUGCCCGUCUUCAUUAGCCCAGUCGGAGCAGAACAGUAGGACGUUGAAUCACAUUUCAUUUCAUUUUAUUUCUAGGUUAUUAAACCCCGAGAUUAGUCGCAACGGGACCAAAGAGCAUAUAUAAAUAUAAAAUGAAUAUAUUUAAACUGAAUUAGGCCUACAUUUAAUAUUGUUUACAUUAUAAUCAAUUAUGGCCUCUGGAAUACGUGAGCACUCGGAACUAGCUUAUAUAAUUGUAAUGUGAAUGUAUAUAAACUAAUUACGGCCCACACUCAGUUCUGUUUACAUUGUAAUCAGUUAUGGUCUUUGAAAUACGUGAGCAGUCC